GACGAACGCUGGCGGCGUGCUUAACACAUGCAAGUCGAGCGGUAAGGCCCUUUCGGGGGUACGACGAGCGGCGAACGGGUGAGUAACACGUGGGUGGACCUGCCCUCCAGCUCUGGGAUAAGACCUGGGAAACCGGGGUACUAAUACCGGAUAUGACUCCAUGACGCAUGUUGUGGGGUGGAAAGCCUUGUGCGGCUGAGGAUGGGCCCGCGGCCUAUCAGCUUGUUGGUGGGGUGAUGGCCUACCAAGGCGACGACGGGUAGCCGGCCUGAGAGGGCGACCGGCCGACACUGGGACUGAGACACGGCCCAGACUCCUACGGGAGGGCAGCAGUGGGGAAGUCUUGCGCAAUGGGCGAAAGCCUGACGCAGCGACGCCGCGUGAGGGAUGACGGCCU
rnacentral:rRNA from 1 species